GAUGAACGCUAGCGGCAGGCCUAAUACAUGCAAGUCGAACGGGAUCCAGAUCAAAGCUUGCUUUGGUUUGGUGAGAGUGGCGUACGGGUGCGUAACGCGUGAGCAACCUACCCUUGUCAGGGGGAUAGCCCGGCGAAAGUCGGAUUAAUACCGCAUGACAUCAUUGAGAGGCAUCUUUCGAUGAUCAAAGAUUUAUCGGACAAGGAUGGGCUCGCGUGACAUUAGCUAGUUGGUAAGGUAACGGCUUACCAAGGCUACGAUGUCUAGGGGCUCUGAGAGGAGAAUCCCCCACACUGGUACUGAGACACGGACCAGACUCCUACGGGAGGCAGCAGUAAGGAAUAUUGGUCAAUGGACGGAAGUCUGAACCAGCCAUGCCGCGUGCAGGAAGACGGCCCUAUGGGUUGUAAACUGCUUUUAUACGGGAACAAACGUCGGUACGUGUACCGGUCUGAGUGUACCGUAAGAAUAAGGAUCGACUAACUCCGUG
rnacentral:rRNA from 1 species